AAAAGUCGAUAGCUUGACGAAACUGGAAUGCCUCACGGUUGUCCAAACUGGCUUUAAAACCAAAAUCGAAUGCCUCACGGUUCUCUUACUUCAUGGCCUUGUUGGUUAGAGAAGCUCUGCCUCUGCGCGACGGAGGCACGAAGGUGAAGCGCCGACGACUCGACCGAAGCUUCUCCUAUAGGGAGAUAACAAUAGAAUCAACGUCGUUGAAGGACGUGGAUUCUGAUAAAUUGAAAAUGGAGAUAAAGAGGUGGGCUAAAGCAGUAGUUGCUUAUGCGCAGGAGGUGACUAGAUGUGGUUCUCAUGAAUAAACCAGACUAUUGAAGCAUAUACAGCCAUAAUUGGGUAGUUGAAGGUUCAUCAAAGCCACAGAUGGUAUUUUUGGUAGUCUCCUGGACCAAGAAAAUCAUCAUUCUAUGGCCGCAGCAAAAUUGAUGAACUAUGGUAGAGGCAUCACAUUGUUUUUCUGGACCAAGCUUGUUGCGAGGAAAUUCAUUUUACACAUGAAGAAAAGAACAAUGCUCUCACAGCCUUCGGAGAAAAGGUCUCCCACAAGAAGGAGCUCAGAUUGUGGCUGCGUAGUUCCGUGGUAAAAAAAUUUGUGAUUCAGCUGCUUCGACACCAGAAGCUGACCAACCCAUCAAGUCUCUACAUAUCAAUUCAGCCAGAAUGAAUGAUUUAAAAGAGUGAAUGCAAGUUUGGAUCCAAGUCUCCAUGACCCAUGAAGAAAGACAAACCUGCCAAGCAAAGGGUUCAGAAUUGAAAAGUGAUUAUAUGGUGGGCAUCAUCUAUAUAUGUUGAUAGAUGGAUAGAUAUUCCUUUUUUUUAUAAAUAUAGAUAUUCCUUUUUUACUAUGUAUAAAAAAUACACAGUACAAAGAAAAUGAAUAAUUUGCUCCUUGUAUAUAUUGAACUGCAAACUAAAGUACAUCUGUAUUAGAGCCAUAACUCAAAUGGGAAAAAAAGAGAGAAGACUAACCUCCGCCAUAAUGCACCAAGCUAUCGAUUACUUUCCCUUUCAAAAACAUGAUUCAUACAAAGUAGAGGCAAGCACUUAAUAUACAUUCUAUCUACUUGAUAAA